UACGAAGGGGGCUAGCGUUGUUCGGAAUUACUGGGCGUAAAGCGCACGUAGGCGGACUACUAAGUCAGGGGUGAAAUCCUGGAGCUCAACUCCAGAACUGCCUUCGAUACUGGAAAGCUCGAGUCCGGGAGAGGUGAGUGGAACUGCGAGUGUAGAGGUGAAAUUCGUAGAUAUUCGCAAGAACACCAGUGGCGAAGGCGGCUCACUGGCCCGGUACUGACGCUGAGGUGCGAAAGCGUGGGGAGCAAACAGG
rnacentral:rRNA from 1 species